UACGGGGGGGGUAAGCGUUGUUCGGAAUUACUGGGCGUAAAGGGCUCGUAGGCGGCCAACUAAGUCAUACGUGAAAUCCCUCAGCUUAACUGGGGAACUGCGUGUGAUACUGGAUGGCUUGGAUUUGGGAGAGGGAUGCGGAAUUCCAGGUGUAGCGGUGAAAUGCGUAGAUAUCUGGAGGAACACCGGUGGCGAAGGCGGCAUCCUGGACCAAUAUUGACGCUGAGGACCGAAAGCCAGGGGAGCAAACGGG
rnacentral:rRNA from 1 species